CGUAAACAAACACCGUAAUGAACAGAUCGCUUUCCUUUUUCCCUCCUAUUUAAGGCCUUAAAGGGAGAUAAAGAGAACAGUAGAUUAGAAAAGAGGAGGAAAGAAAGGAGAAAACACACAACAAUGUCUUGGCUGAGUAUUAAUUUAAAUGAUAGCUUGAAUAGUUUAAAAGGCCAGAUAUCAACAUUGACAAGAGAAGUUCUGUCUGAAGAAAUCGAAGAUGAGUCUGGAGAUGAGCAGAUUGUCGUCCCACGCGACCAAAUUAAGGCCUUGGAAGCGCAGAUUAACCUCCAGAAGCAUGAGGUGUGUGUAGUGUCCGAUUCUU